AAAUUGAAGAGUUUGAUCAUGGCUCAGAUUGAACGCUGGCGGCAGGCCUAACACAUGCAAGUCGAACGGUAACAGGAAGCAGCUUGCUGCUUCGCUGACGAGUGGCGGACGGGUGAGUAAUGUCUGGGAAGCUGCCUGAUGGAGGGGGAUAACUACUGGAAACGGUAGCUAAUACCGCAUAACGUCGCAAGACCAAAGAGGGGGACCUUCGGGCCUCUUGCCAUCGGAUGUGCCCAGAUGGGAUUAGCUAGUAGGUGGGGUAACGGCUCACCUAGGCGACGAUCCCUAGCUGGUCUGAGAGGAUGACCAGCCACACUGGAACUGAGACACGGUCCAGACUCCUACGGGAGGCAGCAGUGGGGAAUAUUGCACAAUGGGCGCAAGCCUGAUGCAGCCAUGCCGCGUGUAUGAAGAAGGCCUUCGGGUUGUAAAGUACUUUCAGCGGGGAGGAAGGGAGUAAAGUUAAUACCUUUGCUCAUUGACGUUACCCGCAGAAGAAGCACCGGCUAACUCCGUGCCAGCAGCCGCGGUAAUACGGAGGGUGCAAGCGUUAAUCGGAAUUACUGGGCGUAAAGCGCACGCAGGCGGUUUGUUAAGUCAGAUGUGAAAUCCCCGGGCUCAACCUGGGAACUGCAUCUGAUACUGGCAAGCUUGAGUCUCGUAGAGGGGGGUAGAAUUCCAGGUGUAGCGGUGAAAUGCGUAGAGAUCUGGAGGAAUACCGGUGGCGAAGGCGGCCCCCUGGACGAAGACUGACGCUCAGGUGCGAAAGCGUGGGGAGCAAACAGGAUUAGAUACCCUGGUAGUCCACGCCGUAAACGAUGUCGACUUGGAGGUUGUGCCCUUGAGGCGUGGCUUCCGGAGCUAACGCGUUAAGUCGACCGCCUGGGGAGUACGGCCGCAAGGUUAAAACUCAAAUGAAUUGACGGGGGCCCGCACAAGCGGUGGAGCAUGUGGUUUAAUUCGAUGCAACGCGAAGAACCUUACCUGGUCUUGACAUCCACGGAAGUUUUCAGAGAUGAGAAUGUGCCUUCGGGAACCGUGAGACAGGUGCUGCAUGGCUGUCGUCAGCUCGUGUUGUGAAAUGUUGGGUUAAGUCCCGCAACGAGCGCAACCCUUAUCCUUUGUUGCCAGCGGUCCGGCCGGGAACUCAAAGGAGACUGCCAGUGAUAAACUGGAGGAAGGUGGGGAUGACGUCAAGUCAUCAUGGCCCUUACGACCAGGGCUACACACGUGCUACAAUGGCGCAUACAAAGAGAAGCGACCUCGCGAGAGCAAGCGGACCUCAUAAAGUGCGUCGUAGUCCGGAUUGGAGUCUGCAACUCGACUCCAUGAAGUCGGAAUCGCUAGUAAUCGUGGAUCAGAAUGCCACGGUGAAUACGUUCCCGGGCCUUGUACACACCGCCCGUCACACCAUGGGAGUGGGUUGCAAAAGAAGUAGGUAGCUUAACCUUCGGGAGGGCGCUUACCACUUUGUGAUUCAUGACUGGGGUGAAGUCGUAACAAGGUAACCGUAGGGGAACCUGCGGUUGGAUCACCUCCUUACCUUAAAGAAGC
rnacentral:rRNA from 1 species